GCCGGGAGUCGUGGCGGGCUCUUGUAAACCAGCUUCUAGGUGGCUUAGGAUGGGGAAAGUCUGCCUGUCGGACCGACACUUGUCUGUCCGGUAUCGUUGACCGAGCGUCCGUGUCAAGCGUAGCGUCGAUAGGCCACCAGUCGGGGAACCUUCUGAUGACCGGUCGUAGUAAGUUCGCUUACUUCUAAAGAGAGAUGGACGGCUCAGGCCCGUGAGGGAGCAGGCAAAAGUCUCCGCGCUAUGACAGUGACCGGAUGGCGCACGCGAGGUUCUGAACUUCAAGUGCCGGCAUUAUAUGUCUUCACUCAUUCUUUU
rnacentral:SRP_RNA from 1 species